UACGGAGGGGACUAGCGUUGUUCGGAAUUACUGGGCGUAAAGCGUGCGCAGGCGGCUUUGCAAGACAGAUGUGAAAUCCCCGGGCUUAACCUGGGAACUGCAUUGGUGACUGGCAGGCUUUGAGUGUGGCAGAGGGAGGUAGAAUUCCACGUGUAGCAGUGAAAUGCGUAGAGAUGUGGAGGAAUACCGAUGGCGAAGGCAGCCUCCUGGGCCAACACUGACGCUCAUGCACGAAAGCGUGGGGAGCAAACAGG
rnacentral:rRNA from 1 species